rnacentral:rRNA from 1 species
AACGCGAAGAACCUUACCUGGGCUCGAAGCGCAGUGGAAUCCGGUGGAAACAUCGGCGCCCCUUAAAAGGCCGCUGCGGAGGUGCUGCAUGGCUGUCGUCAGCUCGUGUCGUGAGAUGUUGGGUUAAGUCCCGCAACGAGCGCAACCCUUAUCCCUAGUUGCCACCGGGUAAUGCCGAGCUACACUAGUGAAACUGCCUGGGAUAACCAGGAGGAAGGUGGGGAUGACGUCAAGUCCUCAUGGCCUUUAUGUCCAGGGCUACACACGUGCUACAAUGGUCGGUACAAACCGUCGCAAACCCGCGAGGGGAAGCUAAUCGGAAAAAGCCGGCCUCAGUUCGGAUUGGAGUCUGCAACUCGACUCCAUGAAGCUGGAAUCGCUAGUAAUCGCGGAUCAGAACGCCGCGGUGAAUACGUUCCCGGGCCUUGUA